rnacentral:lncRNA from 1 species
CUGAAAUAUCAAAAUGUCAAAAAUGACGUUUUGAGCAUUUUCAACCUAAAACACGCAAAAAUUAAAAACAUGGAAAAUUGCCUAAAUUCCUCUUUUUCCAUCAUCCCCAAAAUUCUUCCCUUGGGCUACCGAUCCGCUGCCUCCUUCCAUCAAUAACAACCACCACCCGCCACCUAUGCCAUUGGAUCCACACACCAUCGGCACCCCUUCACCUCCUUCUAAAACCUCCGACCAUCGCCUUCCCACCAGACCGUCGAAAACAACACCAAUUCCCAUCGAAAACCGCGAGCACAGUCAAGAUUUUUUCCCAGUUACUUCCACAUCCGACCACCCUCUCGAUCAUGGAGCACCACAACAACAUUCCUCUCAAUCAAGCACAUCUAGUUCUACCAUGGGUCACCCUCAAUUUUAUCUAGAAUCGGUUGAGCUUGUUGGAGCAGUCUGUGAGAUUUGUGAAAAAUUUUGGUCCAACAAAUUUGAUGAAAUUUCACUAUUGCAAACGAUUAAUUUUGUUGUCGAGGUGUGUUUUUUGAAGCAUUUUGUUUUUCUAAACUUUGGGAUUUUAUAUUAUUAAGAGAUGGUAAUAUAUGGCUUCCAAUUUUUUUGAGGUUCUGUGGUUGAAAUUAUUGUGUCAUGGCUCAUAUUUUGUUCUGUUCAAGAAUGUACAAAGAAUCCAAUUACGUUCUAAGACAAUUGGUGAGUUUGAAUAAAAGUUAUAAUGACAGUAAGAUUAAUGUAUUUCCUUGUGAUAUAUUUGAUGGAUUGUGGUUGACCAGAAAUGUUUGUGUUCCAAUUUGUGGAGAUUUUGAUGCUUUAUUUAGUGUGUUGAGUUGGUGAAGAAGUGCUUCAUAUAUGGUAGGGACUGGAAUUGAACCCUCUGUGUAUACAUUAUAACAUAAUGGUUGGUUAUAUUUGUAAUGAAGGUGAUUUGAACGCUGC